GGAGGGGUGCAAGCGUUGUUCGGAAUUAUUGGGCGUAAAGAGCGUGUAGGGCGGUUCGGUAAGUCAGAUGUGAAAGCCCUGGGCUCAACCCAGGAAGUGCAUUUGAAACUACCAGACUUGAGUACGGGAGAGGAGGGGGGAAUUCCCGGUGUAGAGGUGAAAUUCGUAGAUAUCGGGAGGAAUACCAGUGGCGAAGGCGCCCCUCUGGACCGAUACUGACGCUGAGACGCGAAAGCGUGGGGAGCAAACAGGAUUAGAUACCCUGGUAGUCCACGCCGUAAACGAUGAGCACUAGGUGUAGCGGGUAUCGACCCCUGCUGUGCCGUAGCUAACGCAUUAAGUGCUCCGCCUGGGGACUACGGUCGCAAGACUA
rnacentral:rRNA from 1 species